rnacentral:sRNA from 1 species
AGUUAAUAGCAAGUAGGAAAAAUUCUUUCAAUUGAGUUCCCAUAAAGUUUCAACUUGAAUUAAAAUUUCAAAUGAUAAACCUUAAUCAGAUAUGUGUGCAGCAAUUAUAUUUAAUCAUUCUGGUGAUUCUCCCUUUAAUAUCUGCAUAAUUUAGCUCACACGCAUCUCGAUUGCGAAAUCAGGCAUUCAACAGAAAUUGCAGCAUAAACGAAUAAAAAUGGUAAUAU